GCGAGCGAGCCCCAGGUCUCAGAGCGGGCCGAGGCGUGCGGUGGACGCCCACGUUUACACGCGCGGUGCAAGACUAACACUGCCCUGUCCCAAACGGCGCUGAACUUAAGCCACCUGCCAAUUGUGGCUCUGUCUGUUAGAUCCAAAAGUUAUUUAGCAUGCUGUGAUUCCCGGCUCAGUCCCUUUGGUCCCCCGUCCUUGGCAUUUCUGCAGACAGCAGUCCUCAAAGCGGCCUGAGGACCACGCACAACCUGAUUCGUCAGGGCAGCCAAGGAUAUACCUCAGGAAUUACUUUACCUUUGGUUCAUCUAAAAGUUUCAAGAUGGGGAGAACAAGGUCAUCUGUUCUUGAAGCAAAAUGAGCAGUGCCCCCGAGCCCCUCCAGUCCAGAGCCACGGUCGACAGCAUUGUCACCUGGAAAGGCUGAGCUGCCCAGGCCGGGAGGGACCAGCUGCCCCUCGGGACCCUCUCCGGUCUCCUGCACUGUGUCCAGAUCAGAACUCACUACCUGAAGGUGGUGAGAUGUCUUUUAAGAGAUGUCUUGGAACCACAGUGCAUUUCCAGACCAACCUGCAGAGGCGUCUGUCCUGCCCGUGGCCUGGUAGUUAGUGGAUCAUCUGUCAGGAUGUUUACCUUCCAGUACUAGAUUUUCUGCUGCUUAAACACAGAGAAGUAAAAAGGACAGAAAAUCUAUAGUGAAAAGAACUUGCCUGUUAUUAUCUCAAUAUAAAAACUGGGGUAACGUGCUAAGAAAUAAGAAUACAUUUCUCUCUUCAAGGAGUAGUCUUUUAUUUAACAUAACAAUGCCUGUAUCAGCUCAUAAUUCUGAGGUCACCUUGCGUUUACUGACCCGGCCGGCUGGCUUCCUUAGCAGGUCAACACCCACACCAUCCAGAGCUGCAUCUCAACGAUUUCUGAGGACUCUGAGCGGCUCUGCCGCCUGCCUGGGUGGACUUUCGAGAUUGUUCCUCCUGCAGCCAAGUUGUCCUUCUCACCUAAAUCUAAGUAUUUGUCUGUGUUUUGCACCCACUAUCUGUUUAAAUAGAA